ACAUCAUCUACCAGAGACACACACUGCUAAAGGGAAUGCAUGGGUGACGGGCUGGACGUCGACGGAGACCAGUGACCAGGAGCACUAAUGUGCAGCAAAAAGAAAUCCUGUGGGUCUUGGGUUUUGAAGAGACCUCUGCUGCGCAGGCCGAAGCCUCCCUUCUUCACCGGAGGUCGAGCAGCAGCGGAGGGUACCGAAGGGACAGAAGCGGGAGGAGAGGAGGGAGGAGGGUUCGAACCCGAGGCUUCCAGAGGCGGCUGACGGGACAACAGCUCCCUAAACACUGAGUUCAUCUGCCGACUGACCUCCUAUGAGAAAGAGAGAAACGUUCAUACAUGAGGAUAUCCGUUUGGGUUUACAAGUGCUAGCACUUCAAAUUCAUGGAUUGAAACUUGCCUAAAAUAAUAUUCCUCCCAUGUAAGCUAAGGUAACUUCUCAUACACAAGACUUUCAGCAGCUGGUACCAUCAAAACAACACCUUCUGUUCUCCUACCCUGAGAAUUGGCGUGCAACCGCA